GCCCUUCAAGCUCAGAAGGCAGAGCGCGCCCGUGAAGUGGGCGAGGUUCUCCGUUCGAUCCGGAGGAAGGGCAC
rnacentral:tRNA from 1 species